GAUUGAGCCAUUGAGCGAUGGGCAGGGUUAACUGGACUUUUUCUCCUGCCUUGGGGGGGGGGGUGGAUUCUUUUAAGAAUGUGGAUAUUUGGGUCAUCUUUGGCGCCCCCUAGAACGUAAACCAUGGGGUGCAGCGGCAUGAUUUUUACAACUUUGAAUGGCCAUGGUAUGUAGAUCGGCUUGAGCAAAUUUCGUGUCGGUGGGAAGAAAGCCUUAGGAGGAGUUAGCCACAUUCCAAUGUGUGCGAAUCGGCAAAAAAUGCGAAAUAGCCCUUUAACCGUACAUUUUACAGAUACGUGCCCAUUGACUUUUUCGUAGAUCUUAUUGAGAUACACGUGUGUGUCAAAUUUUGUGUUAUUUUGACAAAGCGUAUAGGCGUGAAUCUCAACAAUGUGUUUUUUCACCUUAGGGGACAAGAAAAAAUGGACUUUUUUCUCCUGCCAUGGGGGGGCGCUCUUUUCGGGAGUAAAAAUUCCUUUACAAAUGUGUUGAUGGCUGGACAUUGCAUCAUCCUAGAAAACUUGGAGGCCAGUGAGGACAAAAAUAAAAAGUUAUAAGACUAUUAAGAAUGUGGAUUUUUGGGUUAUCUUUGGCGCCCCCUAGAACCUAAACCGUGGAGUGCAGCGUCAUGAUUUGUACAACUUUUAAUGGCCAUGGGGUGUAGAUUGGCCUGAGCAAAUUUGGUGGCGGUGGAACUAAAGCCUUCGGAGGAGUUAGCCACAUUCCAAUGUGUGCGGAUCGGGAAAAAAUGCGAAAUAACUCUUUAACCGUACAUUUUACAGAUACGUGCCCAUUUACUUUUUCGUAGAUCUUAUUGAGAUACACGUGAUUGUCAAAUUUUGGGUCAAUAUGACAAAGCGUAUAGGCGUGACACUCAACAAUGUGUAUUUUCACCUUAGGGGACAAGAAAAAAUUGACUUUUUUCUCCUGCCAUGGGGGGGCGCUCUUUUGGGGAGUAAAAAUUCCUUCACAAAUGUGUUGAUGGCUGGACAUUGCAUCAUCCUAGAAAACUUGGAGGCCAGUGAGGACAAAAAUAAAAAGUUAUAAGACUUUUAAAUAUUUGGAUUUUAGGGUAAUCUUUGGCGCCCCCUAGAACCUAAACCGUGGGGUGCAGCGUCAUGAUUUUUACAACUUUAAUGGCCAUGGGGUGUAGAUUGGCCUGAGCAAAUUUGGUGCCGGUGGAACGAAAGCCUUCGGAGGAGUUAGCGAAAUUCCAAUGUGUGCGGAUCGGCAAAAAAUGCAAAAUAGCCCUUUUACCGUACAUUAUACAGAUACGCGCUCUUUGACUUU